rnacentral:rRNA from 1 species
ACGAACGCUGGCGGCGUGCUUAACACAUGCAAGUCGAGCGGUAAGGCCCCUUCGGGGGUACACGAGCGGCGAACGGGUGAGUAACACGUGGGUGACCUGCCCUCAGCUCUGGGAUAAGCCUGGGAAACUGGGUCUAAUACCGGAUAUGACUCCAUGACGCAUGUCGUGGGGUGGAAAGCCUUGUGCGGCUGGGGAUGGGCCCGCGGCCUAUCAGCUUGUUGGUGGGGUGANGGCCUACCAAGGCGACGACGGGUAGCCGGCCUGAGAGGGCGACCGGCCACACUGGGACUGAGACACGGCCCAGACUCCUACGGGAGGCAGCAGUGGGGAAUCUUGCGCAAUGGGCGAAAGCCUGACGCAGCGACGCCGCGUGAGGGAUGACGGCCU